rnacentral:tRNA from 1 species
GGGUCGUUAGCUCAGUCGGCAGAGCCGUUGACGCUUAAUCAAUGGGCCCACACCCUCGAACCCUGUACGACCCACCA